rnacentral:misc_RNA from 1 species
AGUGCGCCUUAAGCCUUUAAUAACAAUGGAUAAGACUCAUCCUUUACUCACUGGUAUAAUCUGUUUGUGGCUUUCCAUUUCAUAGUACUCCUUUCUAGACAUACUGUCUGCUUGUGGCUUUUACUUUUGAAAAUUCAUUUUCUGGAUUAAACUCUUUAGGAAGGUUGCUGGCCUUUAUUUCUUUGGCAAAGAAUGUCAACCUAUUUGUAAGUCUGAUUUCAAUCACUAUGAAUGAAUAAAUGAAAUUGAAUGAUUAAAUUUUAACUGGAUGAGUGGUCAUAUUAGACUAGAUAAAGUCCGU